GGGGGAAUUUUUCCGCAAUGGGCGAAAGCCUGACGGAGCAAUGCCGCGUGAAGGAUGAAGGCCUAUGGGUUGUAAACUUCUUUUCUCAGAGAAGAAAUUUUGACGGUAUCUGAGGAAUAAGCAUCGGCUAACUCUGUGCCAGCAGCCGCGGUAAGACAGAGGAUGCAAGCGUUAUCCGGAAUGAUUGGGCGUAAAGCGUCUGUAGGUGGCUUAAAAAGUCUCCUGUCAAAGAUCAGGGCUUAACCCUGGGCCGGCAGGAGAAACUCUUAGGCUAGAGUUGGUAGGGGCAGAGGGAAUUCCCGGUGGAGCGGUGAAAUGCGUAGAGAUCGGGAGGAACACCAAAGGCGAAAGCACUCUGCUGGGCCAUUACUGACACUGAGGAGGACG
rnacentral:rRNA from 1 species